rnacentral:rRNA from 1 species
UACAGAGGGUGCAAGCGUUGUUCGGAAUUACUGGGCGUAAAGGGCGCGUAGGCGGCCAUCUAAGUCAGACGUGAAAUCCCCCCGGCUUAACCUGGGAACUGCGUCUGAUACUGGACGGCUUGAGUAUGGGAGAGGGAUGUAGAAUUCCAGGUGUAGCGGUGAAAUGCGUAGAUAUCUGGAGGAAUACCGGUGGCGAAGGCGGCAUCCUGGACCAAUACUGACGCUGAGGAGCGAAAGCCAGGGGAGCAAACGGG